rnacentral:rRNA from 1 species
UACGUAGGGUGCGAGCGUUGUCCGGAAUUAUUGGGCGUAAAGAGCUCGUAGGCGGCUUGUCGCGUCGGAUGUGAAAGCCCGGGGCUUAACUCCGGGUCUGCAUUCGAUACGGGCAGGCUAGAGUUCGGUAGGGGAGAUCGGAAUUCCUGGUGUAGCGGUGAAAUGCGCAGAUAUCAGGAGGAACACCGGUGGCGAAGGCGGGUCUCUGGGCCGAUACUGACGCUGCGGAGCGAAAGCGUGGGGAGCGAACAGG